AACGAACGCUGGCGGCAGGCUUAACACAUGCAAGUCGAGCGCCCCGCAAGGGGAGCGGCAGACGGGUGAGUAACGCGUGGGAAUCUACCCAUCUCUACGGAAUAACGCAUGGAAACGUGUGCUAAUACCGUAUACGUCCUUCGGGAGAAAGAUUUAUCGGAGAUGGACGAGCCCGCGUUGGAUUAGCUAGUUGGUGGGGUAAAGGCCUACCAAGGCGACGAUCCAUAGCUGGUCUGAGAGGAUGAUCAGCCACACUGGGACCGAGACACGGCCCAGACUCCUACGGGAGGCAGCAGUGGGGAAUAUUGGACAAUGGGCGCAAGCCUGAUCCAGCCAUGCCGCGUGAGUGAUGAAGGCCCUAGGGUUGUAAAGCUCUUUCACUGGGGAAGAUAAUGACGGUAACCGGAGAAGAAGCCCCGGCUAACUUCGUGCCAGCCGCCGCCGUAACAC
rnacentral:rRNA from 1 species